GGGUGCUCCCAUCUUUCGUUAGGAUAAGAGGAACCCUAGUCCCUAGCAACGCCUACAGCGUCACGGAACACCGGCGAACCAAACCUCGGAGAAACCCUAGCAAGGCCGCUUGCCCCUCUCAGGCGCGACACAGCAUCGGCGACUAGCGAUGACAGGAUAUCGCAGCCGCAGUCCGAGCCGAAGCUACAGCCCACGGAGGCGGUACAGCCGGAGCCCUCCUAGGCGCAAGCGCUACGACGAUCCACGCGACCGCUACCGCUGGGCCGGGGCCGGCGGAGGCGGGGACCGACGUGGUUACGGUCGGCCGUUGGCGCAGUCCGGUCUCCUCAUCCGUAAUAUCUCCCUCACAGCCAGGCCAGAAGAUAUUCGAGCUACAUUUGAGCAAUUCGGCCCUAUCAAGGAUGUUUACCUGCCAAGGAAUUUCCACACGAGGGAACUUCGUGGUUUUGGAUUUGUCAAAUUCCGCUACCCUGAGGAUGCUGCAGUUGCCAAGCGUGAGAUGCAUCAUCAAGUCAUUGGUGGGCGAGAAAUUUCAAUAGUUUAUGCUGAGGAGAAUCGAAAAACGCCACAAGAAAUGCGCAUGAGAACAAGAACUAGUGGUAGGUACAUGGAUGAAAGAUACACAAGACUGUCAAGAUCUCCAAGGUCUCGUUCCCACUCUUAUUCACCACCGCCUUCUCCAGUUAGGCGUGACUUCAGUGGUAAGGCGAGACAAGGCGUUGGACCACCGCCUGGACGCCUAGGCGUCACCUUAAGAACAGUGAUGUCAACAAAGAAUAUAGAGUAUCUAAAAGACCAAAAGACAACCAUAAUGUUUGGAGAUUAAAAGCCAAAGUGAAAGUACCAUGGCUUCCAGGGUUGAGCAUGUGAAAGGCAUUAUUGUUAAAGAUAAAGUGGUGCUGUCAGUCAAGAGUUUAAUGAUAAUCUUGGCUAAGAUACCUGACGGAAAGAGUAUGUUGAAGUUGAGCCAGCGCCUUAAUGCAUUGCACAAUUGCAUGUUUGGAUCAAAGUGGGUAGCUUUUAUUGAUAUGGGGCAGGGGCAGGGAGCGCCCGGAUAGUUAUUCCCCUCAGUACUCGCACUCUCCACGCCCUCGGGACAGCAGGCACCACAGGUCAGAUGGUCGCUCUCCAACUCCAAGCCUAGAUGACCACAAACCUAAGGCGACACCAGUCAAUGGUGGACAUGGUCCAGCAGUUGCAUCCAGAUAGUAUGAUGCCAUUAUGGAUGCCUUGAAUUGUGUUCGGAGGCUGGAGACUGCAGACUAUCUUUUCACCAAUCUUCUCUAAGAGAUGAGUAGGGUUGUAGUAAACAGAUACUUGGUAGUUGUAUUACAGGUGAUGGUUUCGGUUAUGAGGUGCGCUGUUGCUUUUGUGACGCUGCUUUAAUGCUUUCCCAACCGAGGGUAGUAGGGUACCGUCGUGGAAUUUUGCGUGUUUGUUUUUUGGCUACAAUAUUACUAAUACUAGUAACUUGCUCGCUUCGAGCGCGAGUCUUUAUCUA